rnacentral:rRNA from 1 species
GGGCCCGCACAAGCAGUGGAGCAUGUGGUUUAAUUCGAUGCAACGCGAAGAACCUUACCAGGCCUUGACAUCCUCGGAACUUUCUAGAGAUAGAUUGGUGCCUUCGGGAACCGAGUGACAGGUGCUGCAUGGCUGUCGUCAGCUCGUGUCGUGAGAUGUUGGGUUAAGUCCCGUAACGAGCGCAACCCUUGUCCUUAGUUGCCAGCACAUUAUGGUGGGAACUCUAAGGAGACUGCCGGUGAUAAGCCGGAGGAAGGUGUGGACGACGUCAAGUCAUCAUGGCCCUUACGGGUUGGGCUACACACGUGCUACAAUGGCAUCUACAGUGAGUUAAUCUCCAAAAGAUGUCUCAGUUCGGAUUGGGGUCUGCAACUCGACCCCAUG